rnacentral:lncRNA from 1 species
AAUACAGUAGGGACAAAAAGUCAAUCCAGCAAACUCCUUAGGGACAAACUGCUUUCUUCAUCCUAUCCUGAAGGGUGAGCCAGAUCAGAGUAAGCCUAGGUAGUAGAAUGACAGUUCAUCUGCAUUUGAAAAGAACUGUUAGGAUUAAGCGAAGAGUUCCAAAGUAUCCAUCAGACCUCACCUGUAAAUGACACUUAGCAACUUCCCUACUAAAAAUCCUACUAAAAAUGCCGAAUUCUGAGACAAAUGUCAAGGUACAAAUAUACAGAAUCCCUUAAGACUACCUUAGAGGACAAAUGUUCCAGAAGUCUAUCCCUGGAUAAAUUCUUCAAAAAUAUUUAUAAUUACACGGGUUCAAUCACUGUAUGUUGAAAUCAUUCCCAGAUUUUUCACUUCCACAAAAUUUCCACAUCCAAUAAAUAUCAUCUGUCAUAGAAAGAAAGUUACAAUAAACUAAUUUGUAAUUAGUCAAUUUUGAAGAAUGAGAAUACUAAGUUCCCUGGUGGCACAGCAGGUUAAGGACCUGACUUUGUCACUGAUGUGGCGCAGGUUCAGUCCUAGCCUGGGAACUUCCACAUGCCAUGGUGUGGCCCCCCAAAAAAAUCUUCUUUUCAUAAACCACAGCCUCAAUGUAUUUACAAUUUGCAUUUUCUUAGAAGAGAGAACUUAAAGAUACCUGCAAAGCCAGAGGAAUCCUUUUAGAUUUUUAUCUUCCCCUAGGCAUUCAGCUCCCUAACCUAUGCUUAAUGCAGUGCGUAAUCUUUUCAGAAGCUUUAUCAAUUCAUGCAAAAGACAAUUUUCACUGAAGUAUCUCUUUUUUUCCCCACACACAUUUCAUCAAUUUCAUCAUGUUUAAGUAAAUCAAAUAGCAAUUACAGUUGGCAGUAUCGGUUUGGAAACAAAAUGACUUUGGUAAGCAUACAACUUAACAGAAACAGAAGGUACUUCAUAAAUUAUUAGAAACCAAUGCUUUUAAUGAUAUUAAUCAUUUGCCUCAAUAAUCAAAUUGCCUAAGCUUAGAAAGUGCAUGUCCCCCUUUGUAGGUAAGAAAGAUGAAAACAAUUAUUAAUCAUUGCUUAUAUUAAGCCAACUUGUUAAAUACCCUUCAACUCAAAAGGUCAUAUAAGCAGUCUCAAACUUAGAAGAGCCAUUCUUCUUGCCCCUCUUUGGCUACACACCCUUAACUCCAGAAGUCUCUCUGCUACUCUCACAGAAACAGUCAUGAAUAAAGAGAAGCUCUGAGAGAGAUGGGCUCCUAAAGGAAUAGAGGCAAGACUUGAAAAGUAGAAAUAGCUUAGAGCUGAUUAUUCCCAAGGGAGAAUCUUAAAUCAGGGCUGCUUAUAUAAUAACCCACUCCCCUAAAACAUCCUCCUUUCAUUGUCUAACUUUAUUUAUUCACUUUCCUGUGGUACCUGCCAGAUAUUUUGCCAAACAAUUCAUGUUUUUAACAACCAUCUUUUAAAAAUAAUAAUGAUAGCACCUGCAAAAAUGAUUUUAGCAUAACAGUUCAUUCUGAUAAUUAGGAGAGAGAAGUAUGACAGAAAUGAGGCACUGAGGAAGAAGAAGUAGGAGAUUCUGGAACACUGAGAAACAGAAGAUCUGGCAGGGGGGAAAUCACAGAAGGAAGGGUGUCAUCUGAAGGGAGGGGCACCAUUAUGUGGAAAAGGGGUACAGAAAGGGAUUUGGGGGAUCCCAAUGAUAAAAUUUACCAACUUCUGCCACAGGGUGACCAAAAAAAAUUUUUUUUCAUUCUUUUUGUCAAUUUCAAGAUACAACCUAUGGUCAGCCCUACACCUAGAAAAGAAGCAGGUAGGUACUCUCUCUUCAUCAUUCCCAUACUACAUGGCACAUGACUGCUCCCAGAGCCCAGACUCAUACUAUUAAUAGGGAGUUCCCUUUUGGCUCAGCAGGUUAAGGACCAAGCGUUGUCAAUGCUGUGGCUUGGGUCCCUGCUGUGGCACAGGUUCAACCCCUGGCCCAGAAAGGGGCAUGGCCAAAAAGAAGGAAAAACAAACAAACAAACAAACAAAAAACAGCUCAUGUGUAAUGUACAUUAAGUAGAAUUUGCAAAAAGGGAGCUACCCUGGGAACCUAACCUCCCUACAUAACCUGCUGCCAAAGAAACAGUGUUCUCAGAGAUAUGAAAAAAGAAAAAUGUCUUACAAACACUUUUUGAAAUACAGCAUGUUCCUAGUAUCUACAAGACUAAAGAAUACUCACAGAGCAAAACUUAAAAUGCAGAGAUCAAAGAAGAAAGAAACUAAAGUUACCAUUUCCAAGAAAGCUGUGGUUGUUAUUAAAUCACUCUGUCAUAAUAUGCCAUAGAAGGUCAACCUUUGCUAAUAUUUGACUCUCUGUAUAAAAACUUCACACCCCAAGGGUUUUAACACACCUCCACCCCCCCCCCCCCGGGGGUUUCUCCCUGCCACACCUGCACCCAGGUUAAGGUGAGGAUAUGCUAUUUUCUGUCUAUUCCUGCUAGUCACGAUUUUGUAUAUUUUUUUGCAGCUUGCAUUAGGAAAGCAGGUAGGUUUUUAAAGACAACCACAACUCAUAGACCCAAGAGAUUCUUUGGGAGGGGCUCUGCUCCCAAAAACAAGCUACCUCAGUACUUAGUAACAAGGUCCCACAAUCACCUAGAGUUACUGUGUCCAAAAGCACACUCAUCCUCCUACCUACUUUUGUCUCUCCCUAACUCCACCAUGCCUGUUCUUCCUUCUCUCUUCCAGAUCCUACCCCAGUUCAGUCAAUCACCAAGGUUGAUAGUUCUAAAUACUAAUCUUCCUCCUUUUCUCCACCCCUAUUACCAAUGUCCUGGUUUAGCAGUUUAUUUCUUAUCUCUACAAUUAAAAUCACUUCGCUGGACUCUCAGCCUCCAAUAUUUCUAAUGCAUUUAGAAGACUUUAUUCUCAUUUGCUGUCUCAAGGAAAUACAACUUAGUAUCCUACUUGUUUCAACUUGGAACAAUAGUGCUCACUCAUAAACAUAUUUUCAAGCAAUAUAUGAAACCAGUUAGACUGAUUAAGAAAUUACUUUUUUCAGAGUGCUAGUCAUGGCUCAGUGGAAACGAAUCUGACUAGCAUCCAUGAGGACACAUGUUGAUCCCUGGUCUUGCUCAGAGGGUUAAGGAUGCGGCGUUGCCAUGAGCUGUGGUGUAGAUCACAUAUGCAGCUUGGAUCCCGCGUUUCUGUGACUGUGGUGUAGGCCAACAGCUACAGCUCCAAUUUGACCCCUAGCCUGGGAACCUCCAUAUACUGUGGGUGCAGCCCUAAAAAGACAAAAAAAAAAUACUGUUUUCAAUGUACUGGACAUCUUUCAUUAAUAGUAUGGCAAUAGUUAUAAUUAGCAUAAAAUAUAUAAGGUGGUCUAAAAAAAUCAGGAACAGAUUUUGUUUACUAAAAAAUCUACUUUGAAAAUACAAUUUGGUUUUUUUUAAUAAAAAUUUUAAUUGAUCCAGUCCACGUGAAAAUCCUGAAAAUUAAAUAUACUAUAAUCCAUGAACUCACAGUGAAGUCUUCUGUUCUGAAUGCGUUUUUCCCAUGUGGAAUGUGGGGGGAGGAAGGAGUAACUGGUGAGUCAGUUCCUAGCCUAUUUUAGCCCAAAUUAUUAAUCUUUCCUGUCUCUAAACUUCAGCCAUUCAUAUGGUGCUAAUCAAAUACUGAUGUGUAUACAAGUCACAUUCUCCUUAAUACUGUAAAUCCUAUAUUUCGCAACUUUCUAUUGUUCAGCACUAAAUAGAAUAUUAGGAAACUGAACAGCACUACAGUAUUUAUCAAGUAAGGGAAUAAUGUCUAUGGGAAAUGUGUGCCACACUUUAAGGCAAGGGAGUGGGAGGGGGCGAGCGGAAGCGGAAAAAGUUCAGACCUAUCAUCAGCCCCAAAAUUUGGGCCAUAAAGUCAGGCGAAAGGGCAGGCAGGACAGAGACUUGAGAUAUAAAUUGUUUCCAGCACCACUACAUUCAUGGAGGCCAUUGAGAAAGAAACAAAACAAAGACUGACUCCUACUGCCAUUGGGUCAUGGAGUCCCAAGGCAAUCUCUGUGGGACGGGGAGGAAAAAAGCUGGGCAGUAUUUUUGGGUGUAACAUACCUGGGGAGCCCCUUCCCAAGGGCCUUUCAUAUGGCCAUGUAUUUAUAACUCAGAGAAUUCCUGUCCUCUGCUUUGGUAGUAGUGUUCUUCAUAUUUUGAGGGCUCAAGAGGGAUUUUGCAAGAAUCACAAAUCUCUCAUGAGAAAGUUGUCUAGCAAAGGAUGAUUCAUGUCCUACAGACCUAUGUCUUUUCAGAGUAAUUUUGUAAUACAACAAGGAGCUUGAAAAAUUUCCCAGCCUGUAUCUUGCAAAAUAAUGUCCUGUUUCUAUAGCUACAAACCACUACACAAAAAAUAAUCAUUCUCUUUCAGUAAAACACAUGAUAGGUAAUAUCCCUAAACUCAAGAAAUUAGAAAAUAACCACAACACAUGCCACUUUGGCCUAAAUACCUUUGCCCUCAACUCAACUAAAACACUGAAUAACAGGUACGUAUAUAACAGAAAGGGAGUUCCACUUCAUUUUUACAGGAGCAGCUAAACCUUAAAAGCCUAUAUUUUAAGUUUUAAGUUCAAAUCAACAUAAUAAUUAAUAAAAACAAUGAUGAUGGAUACCAUUUGUCAUGUGUAACAAAACCAGUUUUUUGCAAAAACUAGAUUUGAAUACAGAUUAACACAUACUUUUGAUACCCUGGAUAUGUGAAAUCCUUUGUAUAUAGACAAACUUUCAUUCCUCUGGCUCCUAUCUCAAAUCCAUUCGGGCCUCUGUAGUAAUAAAACCUUUAAGAGCUGUAGGAAUCAAACUAAGUUGAGAGUGUCUCUUAAUACAAAGCUCACUUGUUUAACUGAAUUAAACUAAGCAGAGGAUUUGAGUUCAAAUCAUGGCCUUAGGAUGACUUUACCAUAGUUGGGAGCAAUAUAUCUCUUCUUACACUGUCACAGAAGAUUCAUAUGUGAAAAGGGAAAUAAACAAGUGAAUCAUGACAACACCUCAGUGAGGGUAAUUUUACCUGGUUCCCUGUAUCAUAGAUCUUGCAGCUUCCCUUGGAUUAUUCUGAGGACUGUAAUUCAGCCUACAAUGAAUGCAACACCUUCAGUGUGACAGCAGCAG